rnacentral:misc_RNA from 1 species
CGGCAUUUCUUCUGUUUCCGCGUCUCUACUUACCCACACCAUGAGCUCAGUCUCAAGGAAUUCCAAGAUUUCACUCAGAAAGACACCAAGAAGAAGGAUAAGAAGAACUUCAACCUCUCAGAGAAGAAGACUACAGGCACGACGUGCUUGCAAAGCUCAAAGAAGCAGGCGUACCAGUGCCACCACCAAGGUCUCAGACAAGCUGGAGGCUCUCAAGAACCUCAUCCCUGCCCACAAUGGAGAGAUUGUAAAGGCUGAGCAGUUGCUCCAAGAAACUGCGGAUUACAUUGUUCUCUUGAAGACCCAAGUCUUUGUUUUACAGAGAUUGAUCGACCUCUAUGGAUCUACCACUAGUACUACUGAAGGAGACACUAAUGCUGUAUUAUAGUAUCAUGCUGAUAAUUUUAUUAAUGAAAGAAAAAGAAGACAAUUUUAUUAAUGAAAGAAAGAGAAGAUCUCUUCUUGGUCUUUUCGAUUUUUAUUACGUGGUUUUGUUUGGUUGAGGAGAAAGUGGAGGGAAACGGGAAUGGAAGUUUUUGGAGUUUUUUUUUUAUAUAUAAUUAAGUAGGACUCACAACCUUUUUAGAAGCUCCUGUGUUGUGGGUUUUCCCAGAUUUUCCUUCACUCACUCUUCAUGUUAUUAGCAUCCAAUAUACAUACAUACAUACA